AACGAACGCUGGCGGCAUGCCUAACAUAUGCAAGUCGAACGAGACCUUCGGGUCUAGUGGCGCACGGGUGCGUAACGCGUGGGAACCUGCCCUUAGGUUCGGAAUAACUCCCCGAAAGGGGUGCUAAUACCGGAUAAUGUCUUCGGACCAAAGAUUUAUCGCCUUUGGAUGGGCCCGCGUUGGAUUAGCUAGUUGGUAGGGUAAAAGCCUACCAAGGCGACGAUCCAUAGCUGGUCUGAGAGGAUGAUCAGCCACACUGGGACUGAGACACGGCCCAGACUACUACGGGAGGCAGCAGUGGGGAAUAUUGGACAAUGGGCGAAAGCCUGAUCCAGCAAUGCCGCGUGAGUGAUGAAGGCCUUAGGGUUGUAAAGCUCUUUUACCCGGGAUGAUAAUGACAGUACCGGGAGAAUAAGCUCCGGCUAACUCCGUG
rnacentral:rRNA from 1 species